AGACUUUAGAUGAAAACCCUUAAAGGUGUCAAUCUAUUGGAAAAAGGCUUAAGAAACUUGGGAUGACACAAGAUAUCAUGAUAUCCAACUAGAUUUUGUUUAUUUUAUAUCUUUGUGAUGAUAUCAAACCAGGUAAUAUUAUUAGAAAUCUAUUGGAAAAAGGCUUAAAGGUGUCAUCAUAAACAAAAUCUAAUUGUAGUAGAAAUCCGGAUAAAAUCUCCCGUGGGAGCGUGUACAUAUGUUGCCCGAACUGAGUCUUGGAAGGAUAUACCCGAUCGAUCGAGUAUUGAUGAAACCCGGGCUGGUUUUUGUGUGAUACCUAACCAAGUAUUGGCAUAUCCGAUCAGGUUUCUCUCUCUUUGAAGACUUUUCUCGAGCCGGGGGACUCUUUGACCGCACUCUUCUCUAUGGGUAUGAGCUGCCGUCGUUCUUCCUUCCCCAGACCCUGAGCAUAGUUUUCUAUGAGCGGGAUAUACUGGGUAUGAUGAGGAUAAUGAUGAUGAUGAGGGCUCCAAUGAGGAUAAAGGGUUUUUAAUAAACCAACAACACCUGAAACAUGUGGGCAUGACAUAGAAGUCCCUGAUAAAGAGUUAAACUUAACUCUGCGUUUAUCAAACACUUGGUUUGUUGGCCCUUGUGCUU